UGAGGAAUAUUGGUCAAUGGGCGCAAGCCUGAACCAGCCAUCCCGCGUGAAGGAAGAAGGCCGCAAGGUUGUAAAAUCCUUUUGCUGGGGAAGAAUAAGUCCAGGAGGGAAUGCCUGGAUGAUGACAUGAACCGGCGAAUAAGCCCCGGCCAACUACGUGCCAGCAGCCGCGGUAACACGUAGGGGGCAAGCGUUGUUCGGAAUUACUGGGCGUAAAGGGCAUGUAGGCGGUUUAGUAAGCUUGGCGUGAAAGACCACAGCUCAACUGUGGGGUUGCGUUGAGAACUGCUGAACUUGAGUUACGGAGAGGGAGCUAGAAUUCCUGGUGUAGGGGUGGAAUCUGUAGAGAUCAGGAAGAAUACCGAUGGCGAAGGCAAGCUUCUGGCCGAUAACUGACGCUGAGGUGCGAAAGUGUGGGGAUCAAACA
rnacentral:rRNA from 1 species